AUACCUUUCUCAGCCUUUUGGUAAGAUCAAGUGUAGUAUCUGUUCUUAUCAGUUUAAUAUUUGAUAUGUGAGCCAUAGGCUCACAUGAUAUUAAUCUUAUCUUUUAUGGGGAAAGAUCCAUCACCAUAGCUUGCUAUUGGGAUCUUUGGGAGUCGCCUUGGCAUUGCACUACUGCCUUGGCCUGGCUCACCCCUC